UACGUAGGGGGCUAGCGUUGUCCGGAUUUAUUGGGCGUAAAGAGCGUGUAGGCGGCCAUGUAGGUCCGGUGUGAAAACUCGAGGCUUAACCUCGAGAUGUCAUCGGAAACCAUUUGGCUAGAGUCCGGAAGAGGAGAGUGGAAUUCCUGGUGUAGCGGUGAAAUGCGCAGAUAUCAGGAAGAACACCAAUGGCGAAAAGCAGCUCUCUGGGACGGUACUGACGCUGAGACGCGAAAAGCGUGGGGGAGCGAACAGG
rnacentral:rRNA from 1 species